GACUGAGUGGUGGUUCCUCGAACUGGAAUGCAGGGAGCUGGUUUUAGCAGUUGAUCAUGUGCAGAUCAGUUAACAGAUGGUCUUUGAAAUGCCACACUGUCACUUAAACCUUAAAUUGCUCUUCCCAAUGUAGUGGUUUAUGAGGAAACCUGCAGUUGCUGAUCCUGAGGAUGAACCACGUAUGGCUCUGAGCAGGGUUUUGGGAACAGGCAGCAGUAGCAUAGGCUCACGGUGAGGACAGCAGCAGGGGAAACUGGAAGCUCUGCUCUUCUCUUAUCAGGCCAGCCCCAGAGUGUCCCUGGCUCUUAUCAGCCCUGGCAGAGCUGGUUUCUGAUGUGUUGAGCCUCUAAAGUCCUGCCAUAGUUGUCUCCUGCUUGCACUUAAAGAGUGGCUGAGAAGCACCUUGUGACAUAUGGGAACAAGGCAGGGCAGUGGUAACAGACCCACGAAAAGAGGCAAUGCUGGAUCUCAUCAUCCUCAGCCUUCAUUUCUUCAUCUGCUUUCUCAUCUUCAUUGCAAUCUGGUGUGGACCAAAGGAUGUGGAAUCACACAGCUCAAGCACAGGAGGAGCUGAAACAGAGCCAGACGGUCUUAUAUACAUUGGCAAAGAAGAGGACAUGAAGAAGUCCCAAAGAAUAACAGCCAAAAUCAAUGGCAGAGAAAUUGUUGUUUUCUACCAUGAGGGGAAAUUUCAUGCUCUGGACUCUCGCUGCUACCACGAAGGAGGCCCUUUAUUUUGUGGAGAAAUAGAGGAUAUCGAUGGACAAGUGUGUAUUGUUUGUCCUUGGCAUAGGUUUAAGAUUACCUUGGAAACUGGAGAAGGAUUGUACGAAGGAAUAAAUCCUCUGGAACCAUCACCAACACCAAAGUGGCAAUCAAAAGGAGUCAAACAAAGGAUUCAUAAGGUCACAACAGACAAUGGAAAUGUUUAUCCCUUUCUAGGUUCCUAGUUAUACUGGUAAGAGUGCAUGAACACAUGGAAAGCACAAGGAGGGAGAUGAGGAGUGGUUACUGUCAAGGCAAUGAUUCUAAGGUGUCAUUUAAGACACAAUGAAGAGAGGAAGGAAUGAGAACAAGCUAUGGGCAAAAGAUCAGCCAGGCGGGGAGCAGAGAAAUACGUGCUAUGAUUUGGCAUGAAAAUUUUUGUGAUGAUUCUGCAAGACAUUCAGGCUCUAUAAUGAGAAAGCAGCUUGAAGACAAUAAAUAAGUUAUGUUUAUGCCAUCAUGGAAACAUAUUUUCAAGAAAGACAGGUGAAAACUAUAUAGCAGUUUGAAGUGCAGCGUGAACCUUAACCUGAUGUACCUUCACUGCAAACCUUGAUUAGACACUAUUGACGGUAAGGCUGGGUGUUGUCCUUUUCCUACAAUUUAUGCCUUGUUUUGCCAUUGCUCCCCUGGCUGCACUCAGUGUUGCAUAUUAAAUUAAGGACCCCUUCAAUGUAAAAUGUGCUAUUAAGUUGGGACUGAGAAAUUCAUUAUGGAGCAUAUUACCUGGAGGAGAGCAGUUUGCAGGAUGGCAUAACACAGGGAUAGAAAAAUGUCUAUUCUGUAGGAAAACAAUCUCAAAACUAGUCUUUCACCAUUGAAGCCCUUUUCAUAGUUUUGUGCAGUUCCUAAUUCUAUACUUAGUACUGGAAUGAAAUCAGUUGUGAAUUUUGCAUCUCUGGUUUCUAAAAUGAUCAGAAGGAUCUUGUGUUGUUUCCUUGCUGGUGGUACAUGGAGUGUGAGAGUCAAUGCUCACUGAUCUCCAUCACUCUGCCCCACUGACUUGGCAGCUGCUUUUCAAGGGGGAAAGCAAGGGAUAGGGAAUGGAAAUAAUACCAGUGGAGAGGUACUUCAGCCCCUGUGUGUGUGGGGAGGUUGCCCUUUGCUGGCAGGGCCGUGAGAGAGCUGCAGCCACAGCAGACCCGACCCGUAGGGUCUGCCCCACCCUGGCUGCACCUGAAAUGUCUGGGGUCCAUGGUUUUCUGCUGGGCCAGCAAAUUCAGCCAGCUACAUCAACAGGUGAGCAAGCACCAUGCUGAGAGAGGCAGGUGGAGUCAGUGAGGCUUAAGGGGGUGUGAUAAAUUGGGUCAGUUCUUCAAACUCUAUUCUACAAACACUUGCUUUUGAUGUGCUAUUUAUUCAUGUAAACCCAUACAUUUCAUAAAGUGAAUUUUCUAGCUGAAUGAAGAAUUGAGUGCAGUUUUCAGCCUCUGCCAUCUAUAAAUUAUUGACGUAAACUAAAAAUGAAAGUGACAGUUCUGCCUGUAGGUAAAAAUAAACCUGGAAAAUCAGUGCAGAUGUCCUUAUUAGCCCAUUUGUGACUCUUCCUCCAUGAGAUGAACACAGGUCCUUGACAAGGGUAGUUGUGAUGCUUGAACAGUGGAAUUGUUCUACUGAGAGAUGUCAGAGAGGUAUAGUUUAUUUUUUGCAAACCAUAGUAGCUAGAAAUCCAAAGCUUAUAAAGGAAAGAUGAUUCCAGAAAUAAUUAUUCUACUUGAAAGUAAAAUAUGUGUUAUCUUGCUAAAAAACAAACAAAAAUUUGUAAUUCAUUUAACUGUUCAAAUUACAAUUAAUUUUUGCUGCAGCUGUGGACCCUGAUAGUGCAGACAUUGCCAGUAAAGGUGAUCCCUCCUUAUUAAGACAGUCACUACAGUGAAAAAAGUGGUAAAGUUUUUGCCCCUACUGAAGUAGGUCUGUUCCACCUGAAGGUUUUCUGAUUUUUUUAAUGUAUAUAUUUGAGUUGUUUAAUGAAAGGUUUCAGCUCUGCACACAUAUGUCCUUCCUUGAUUUCAAUUAACAUCUAAGAUUCACACUCAAGGGAAAACUAUUUUUUAUUACAGUCUGUGCUGAACAUGCCCCUCCCACCCUACCCCCCCACCCCCCCCAAAAAAAUUACAUGUUUAUUUGGCACAGAUUGCUCCAGGAAAAACUUCAUACUUGUGUAGCUUUCUUUUGGCCUAGGAAAGCACAAAAGAGCAGUGAAACUAUGGCCUCCCUUAUACUCAUUAUAAGGCCUUGAAUAUUCCUGGCAUGGUAUCAUGCUGUCAUCUGAAUUUGAAAAGCCAUGAAUGAUCAGGAUCAGCAGCACUUCCCUGGAGGCUGUGUCACCUUCCAGUGCUCAUGGUAUUUUUCAUGAGACUCAUCACUGAAAGAAUACCUGAAGCCAACAAUAAGUUUGGAGGUCCAGGUGUUCACACCAAUUUUCAUUAUCAAUUUUCUUGCACUAAGCAGAAUGGAGGUGUGAUGUUAACUAAAUGGAUAGGCAAGGUCCUGUGCCUGGAUGAGGGCAAUGCCAGACACAAAUACGGGGCAGGGAAUGGGUAGAAAGCAGCCCUGAGGAGGACUUAGGGUGUUGGCAGAUGAGAAGCCCCAGAUGAGCUGGCAAUGAGCUCAGACAACCCAGAAAGACAAAAAUGUCCUGGAGAAGAAAAAGCAGUGUCGGCAGCAGGUUGAGGGAGGUGAUUCUACACCUCCACUUGGGUGAGACCCUACCUGCAGUGCUGCAUCCAGCUCUGGCCCACUACAGAAGGAUGACCUGUUGGAGCAAGUCCAGAGAAGGCUGUGAAGAUGAUCCAAGGCUGGCAUACCUCUGCUGUGAAGAUAGGCUGAGAGAGUUCGGGUUGUUCAGGCUGUAGAAGAGAAGGUUCUGGGAAGAUUUUAGAGUCCCUUCCAUGUGGAGGAGUUUUUGGACCAGUGAGGCCAUGGAAAGCUCGCUUUGCAGUGUUGGGAUAAAUUGGGCUAAUUUAGUACUAGCAAGGGCAUGCUGACCUUGGACUGAGAAUAAGAGAUAAACAGGUGGCAAGAGUGAGAAAGCAAGCCAGGAUGUGCUAAUUGCAAGAGCAAGAAAAUAGAACAUAAACAUAAAAUGCUGUAACCAAUUAGUAGGGUAGUCGCGGCACAUGAACAUUUACUUGUAGCCAAUAAAUAUUAGUAUUAGGCGCAUGAGCGCAUGCAGGUAUGUCAGAACUUUAUAAAAGGCAACAGCUUGUAUACUAAAGUUGACCACUCAUCAUACCUCCAUGAGUGUAACAUGUUUGACUCCGGUCGCUCCUCGCAACAUUUGGCGUCGGAACAGGGACCCAGCAUGGUGGGACGCGGAUUUCGCUAUAGACGUAUAUGUGUUGAUGCGAACUUGCUAAUCUUGCCACGGCGUGUGGUGAGGCAAAGCGGAAAAAGGAGCGAGGGACCAUCCCUAGAGGAGGUACGAAGAAUCGAGUGCUCUCUUCCCGGUCCUGAUUAAACGUAAGCAUGGAAAGUGAAUGUGCUGCCGCGGUGAAGCUACUGCAUAGUAUGCUCGCUAAGCGAGAGGAAUCAGUAGCGGAGAAGACCCUCAGCAAAUUGGUGAAGUGGGCGCGAGAACGCGGGUUUCUCGCUAGCCCGCCGAUUGUGUUUCAAGCAGAGGCUUGGCGUGCUCUCGGUGAUCACAUGUGGGACAUGACGAUCACGAGCAAAGAUAGAGAAAUUAAAGACUUCCGCACCACCUGGCGCACAGUUAUUAACAGCUUAAAUGAUAUGAAAGCGGAGGUGAAGAUAGUUGUUGCCGCUGUUAAAGCUCCUGCCCCACCGGGGGGAGCGGCGAAACCCCCAUUGCCGGUUAAAGGGCACGGACUUUUAAACGACUUUUUGGAACAACAUGGGCAAGCGCCAAUUAAAGAUCUAUCGGCCCCUCAA